GAUGAACGCUGGCGGCGUGCCUAAUACACGCAAGUCGAGCGAACAGACGAGGAGCUUGCUCCUCUGACGUUAGCGGCGGACGGGUGAGUAACACGUGGAUAACCUACCUAUAAGACUGGGAUAACUUCGGGAAACCGGAGCUAAUACCGGAUAAUAUAUUGAACCGCAUGGUUCAAUAGUGAGAGACGGUUUUGCUGUCACUUAUAGAUGGAUCCGCGCCGCAUUAGCUAGUUGGUAAGGUAACGGCUUACCAAGGCAACGAUGCGUAGCCGACCUGAGAGGGUGAUCGGCCACACUGGAACUGAGACACGGUCCAGACUCCUACGGGAGGCAGCAGUAGGGAAUCUUCCGCAAUGGGCGAAAGCCUGACGGAGCAACGCCGCGUGAGUGAUGAAGGUCUUCGGAUCGUAAAACUCUGUUAUUAGGGAAGAACAAAUGUGUAAGUAACUAUGCACGUCUUGACGGUACCUAAUCAGAAAGCCACGGCUAACUACGUG
rnacentral:rRNA from 1 species